UACGUAGGGGGCAAGCGUUUGUCCGGAAUUAUUGGGCGUAAAGAGCGCGUAGGCGGUCCGAUAAGUCGGCUGUGAAAGUCAGGGGCUCAACCCUUGAAAGCCGGCCGAUACUGUCGGACUAGAGUCCGGAAGAGGCAAGUGGAAUUCCCGGUGUAGCGGUGAAAUGCGCAGAUAGUCGGGAGGAACACCAAUGGCGAAGGCAGCUUGCUGGGACGGUACUGACGCUGAGGCGCGAAAGCGUGGGGAGCAACAGG
rnacentral:rRNA from 1 species